CCGAAGUUUCCCUCAGGAUAGCUGGAACUUGUAGAAAUAGUUUUAUCAGGUAAAGCGAAUGAUUAGAAGCUCUGGGGAUGAAACAUCCUCGACUUAUUCUCAAACUUUAAAUAGGUAAGAUGAUUGCAGUACUUAAUUGACUGACAGUCUCUUGAAUAGAAAGUUCUUAGUGGGCCAUUUUUGGUAAGCAGAACUGGCGAUGUGGGAUGAACCAAACGUAAAGUUAAAGUGCCUAAAAGUACGUUCAUCAGAUACCACAAAAGGUGUUGAUUCAUCUUGACAGUUGGACAGUGGCCAUGGAAGUCGGAAUCUGCUAAGGAGUGUGUAACAACUCACCAACCGAAUGAAUUAGCCCUGAAAAUGGAUGGCGCUUAAACGUAUUACUUAUACUUUACCAUUAAGAUAAAUGCUAAAUCUUAAUGAGUAGGAGG
rnacentral:rRNA from 1 species